GCCGACCUCAGAUCAAGUAAGA
rnacentral:rRNA from 1 species